AUUGAACGCUGGCGGCAUGCCUUACACAUGCAAGUCGAACGGUAACAGGUCUUCGGAUGCUGACGAGUGGCGAACGGGUGAGUAAUACAUCGGAACGUGCCCAAUCGUGGGGGAUAACACAUCGAAAGAUGUGCUAAUACCGCAUAAGAUCUACGGAUGAAAGCGGGGGAUCGCAAGACCUCGCGCGAAUGGAGCGGCCGAUGGCAGAUUAGGUAGUUGGUGGGGUAAAGGCUCACCAAGCCGACGAUCUGUAGCUGGUCUGAGAGGACGACCAGCCACACUGGGACUGAGACACGGCCCAGACUCCUACGGGAGGCAGCAGUGGGGAAUUUUGGACAAUGGGCGCAAGCCUGAUCCAGCAAUGCCGCGUGCAGGAUGAAGGCCUUCGGGUUGUAAACUGCUUUUGUACGGAGCGAAAAGGUCUCUUCUAAUACAGGAGGCCCAUGACGGUACCGUAAGAAUAAGCACCGGCUAACUACGUGCCAGCCGCCGCGGUAA
rnacentral:rRNA from 1 species